CCCUUAGAUGUUCUGGGCCGCACGCGUGCUACACUGAACGGUUCAAUGGGUGAGGUAGUGCGAAAGCAUGACCCAAUCUCAAAAUCCGUUCGUGCUGGGGAUAGAAGCUUGCAAUUCUCCUUCUUGAACGAGGAAUACCUUGUAAGCGCGAGUCAUCAUCUCGCGCUGAAUACGUCCCUGCCCUUUGUACACACCGCCCGUCGCUCCUACCGAUUGAGUGGUCCGGUGAGGCUUUGGGAGAGCUAAAUGGAUUGUGUUUCACAAACUAUUUGGCUUGAACUUAGUCAAACCUUACUACUUAGAGGAAGGAGAAGUCGUAACA
rnacentral:rRNA from 1 species